AUUGAACGCUGGCGGCAGGCUUAACACAUGCAAGUCGAGCGGGGGAAGGUAGCUUGCUACUGGACCUAGCGGCGGACGGGUGAGUAAUGCUUAGGAAUCUGCCUAUUAGUGGGGGACAACAUCUCGAAAGGGAUGCUAAUACCGCAUACGUCCUACGGGAGAAAGCAGGGGAUCUUCGGACCUUGCGCUAAUAGAUGAGCCUAAGUCGGAUUAGCUAGUUGGUGGGGUAAAGGCCUACCAAGGCGACGAUCUGUAGCGGGUCUGAGAGGAUGAGCGGCCACACUGGGACUGGGACCCGGCCCGGAGUCCUACGGGAGGCAGCAGUGGGGAAUAUUGGACAAUGGGGGGAACCCUGAUCCAGCCAUGCCGCGUGUGUGAAGAAGGCCUUAUGGUUGUAAAGCACUUUAAGCGAGGAGGAGGCUACUUUAGUUAAUACCUAGAGAUAGUGGACGUUACUCGCAGAAUAAGCACCGGCUAACUCUGUGCCAGCCGCCGCGGUAA
rnacentral:rRNA from 1 species